rnacentral:rRNA from 1 species
UACGUAGGGGCCAAGCGUUGUCCGGAUUUAUUGGGCGUAAAGAGCUCGUAGGCGGUUCGGCAAGUCGAAUGUGAAAUCUCCACGCUCAACGUGGAGGGGUCAUUCGAUACUGCCGUGACUUGAGUACGGUAGGGGAGUGUGGAAUUCCCGGUGUAGCGGUGAAAUGCGCAGAGAUCGGGAGGAACACCCGUAGCGAAGGCGGCACUCUGGGCCGAUACGUGACGCUGAGGAGCGAAAGCGUGGGGAGCGAACAGG